AAAAAACUUUAUUUAACAUCAAUCAAUAUGCAAGAAACCAUGCUUAAUAAUAUGGGAUAAAAUGAUAAAUCUCAUCAAGACGUUGGAAAUGGAACACAAACAACUAGGCUAUUUUUCAUCAUCAACCAUGUGGACCUGGAAUACUGAUACUAGAAACGGAACCAACACUAGGAGUCACAGGUCCCUUUUGUAGUAGUCUACGCAUUCUAAUUUCAUUGUG
rnacentral:misc_RNA from 1 species